GAGCGGCUUCUGGACUGACACUGACACUGAGGUGCGAAGCGUGGGUAGCAAACAGGAUUAGAUACCCUGGUAGUCCACGCCGUAAACGAUGUCGACCAGCCGUUGGGUGCCUAGCGCACUUUGUGGCGAAGUUAACGCGAUAAGUCGACCGCCUGGGGAGUACGGCCGCAAGGUUAAAACUCAAAUGAAUUGACGGGGGCCCGCACAAGCGGUGGAGCAUGUGGUUUAAUUCGAUGCAACGCGAAGAACCUUACCUACUCUUGACAUCCUGCGAACUUGUGAGAGAUCACUUGGUGCCUUCGGGAACGCA
rnacentral:rRNA from 1 species